rnacentral:rRNA from 1 species
CAAUAGCGUAUAUUAAAGUUGUUGCAGUUAAAACGCUCGUAGUCGGAUUUCGGGGCGUUCCCGCCGGUCUGCCGAUGGGUACGCACUGGCGGGCGCGUCCUUCCUUCCGGAGACUGGCCCUACUCUUAGCUGAGCGGGGUCGGGAGUCGGAUCGUUUACUUUGAAAAAAUCAGAGUGUUUCAAGCAGGCAGCUCGCUCUUGCAUGGAUUAGCAUGGGAUAAUGAAAUAGGACUUUGGUGCUAUUUUGUUGGUUUCGAACACCGAAGUAAUGAUUAACAGGGACAGUCAGGGGCACUCGUAUUCCGCCGAGAGAGGUGAAAUUCUCAGACCAGCGGAAGACGAACCACUGCGAAAGCAUUUGCCAGGGAUGUUUUCACUGA